GACGAACGCUGGCGGCGUGCCUAAUACAUGCAAGUCGAGCGAAUCAAUAGGAGCUUGCUCCUGUUGGUUAGCGGCGGACGGGUGAGUAACACGUGGGCAACCUGCCUGUAAGACUGGGAUAACACCGGGAAACCGGUGCUAAUACCGGAUAAUCCUUUUCCUCUCAAGAGGAAAAGCUGAAAGUCGGUUUCGGCUGACACUUACAGAUGGGCCCGCGGCGCAUUAGCUAGUUGGUGAGGUAACGGCUCACCAAGGCGACGAUGCGUAGCCGACCUGAGUGGGUGAUCGGCAACACUGGGACUGAGACACGGACCAGACUCCUACGGGAGGCAGCAGUAGGGAAGCUUCCACAAUGGACGAAAGUCUGAUGGAGCAACGCCGCGUGGGCGAUGAAGGCCUUAGGGUUGUAAAGCUCUGUUUUAAGGGACGAAUGUUACGGGGAGUAAUAUGCCCUGUAAAUGACGGUACCUUAAGAGGAAGCCCCGGCUAACUACGUGCCAGCCGCCGCUGUAACAC
rnacentral:rRNA from 1 species